rnacentral:rRNA from 1 species
CCUACGGGAGGCAGCAGUGGGGAAUAUUGGACAAUGGGCGGAACCCUGAUCCAGCGACGCCGCGUGAGUGAAGAAGGAUUUCGGGAUGUAAAGCUCUAUUAGCAGGGAAGAAAGAAAUGACGGUACCUGACUAAGAAGCUCCGGCUAACUACGGGCCAGCAGCCGCGGUAAUACGUAGGGGCCAAGCGUUACCCGGAUUUACUGGGUGUAAAGGGAGCGUAGACGGCGGUGCAAGUCUGAGGUGAAAGGCGGGGGCCCAACCCCCGGACUGCUUUUGAAACUGUAUGGCUGGAGUGCAGGGGAGGUAAGUGGAAUUCCUAGUGUAGCGGUGAAAUGCGUAGAUAUUAGGAGGAACACCAGUGGCGAAGGCGGCUUACUGGACUGUAACUGACGUUGAGGCUCGAAAGCGUGGGGAGCAAACAGGAUUAGAUACCCCGGUAGUC